GUACACUGUCAGUAAGAAAACAAAACAGUAAGCUUCACAAGACAUUAAAUACUGAUGGACUCAUGUGGAUUACUUGUGAAUUAUUUUGAUGUUUUUAUCAGCUGUUUGAACUCCUAUACUGAAGGCACCCAUUCACUGCAAAGGAUGAGCAUAAUUUCUCCAAAUCUGUUCUGAUGAAGAAAUGAACUCAUCUACAUCUUAUAUGGCCUGAAGCUGUUUGGACUCUCAUUCUGAUGGCACCCAUUUACUGCAAAUCUCUCUAAUGAACAGAAAACUCAACUCAUCUUGCACGUUGCAUGCUGGACUAAAGGAAGCAACACAAUCAAUAAUCUCCACAAGUGCAGGUCAUUGAGGGCACUGAGCGUAUCCUCCAGACGUGGCAUGACUUUCAAAGGACUGGCAUGCCUGCCACCUGAAGGUCGCAGGUUCACUUUUCCUGGAACAAAGCAAAUGAAAAGGAGAAGAUCAGAGACUGUCGAUCAUGGCGUGAAGUCCUUGUUUAUGUCUCAACAAAACUGACAGCAGAGCAUCACUCCAAACUUGAACCUAGGUCAGCCCAACUAUAAAUAGCCGUCUGUGUGAUAACACAGCCUGAAUGUCUGGCCAGAUUUGAUAUUAACUGGUUUAAUGUCUGAUCCCUAUAGAGACAGGUAAAUCUCUGUGGGUCAAUGGCAAAAUAUUUUUCAUCCCAAAUGACAAAACAAAAUACAAGCGUUUUAUCUUAUGACAGAAAUCAUUCUAACAUGCUAACAUUGGGUGUUUUUUAAUUAUCAAUGUGUAUUUUAAAAAAUGCAUGACAUUAUAAAAUUAAACUUUACAUGUAACACACUGAAUACACAUGAUAUGCAAGAUUCAACAGCCCCUCAAAAACUGUUGUAGGUACUUCAUUAACUGUUCAGUGUGUGAAACUCAUCAUGUUCUCUCCUGCUCUUCUGCUGCUCUGGGUUUCUGUUUUUCUCAUCAUGAGAACUGGCCUGCUCUUGUGUAAAGAGGAAACAAUUGAUACAAUGAGGGAGUAAACGUGGCGAGUUCAACCACAGGCCUUGAUAAUGUCACGAGGAUCUUUAAUACAUGUAAUAAAUUCUAUGUUUAACCUCAGUUAAAACUGAUGCAGUUAAACAUGUCCAUCCAUACAAACACAUACAUAUAUAUUAGGCUCCAAUAUCCCCAAAAACCCACAUAUAUCCAUCCAUUUUUCAAGCCGCUUGUCCUCGUGGGGAUACUGCAGUAUAUAUUUGAAAAAUUGCUAUCUCAUUCUAAGAUGACAUGCUUUAUCAUUGCUAUUUGGCCUGCUGUAACAUGUCUCUCUGGUUUCUAAAAUAACAUGUUGCUAUUAUUGAUAUUGCAUAAAUGCUAAUACCUGAAACCUGUAUAUAAAGUAUUAAAAAGGUAUUCAGAAUAUGCAAUGCAAACCACAGGCAAUAUAAAUGCAUUGCUUUGCAUGUUACUUCAUGCAAUACCGCAUAAAUCCAUACUGCAUUUGAAGUGAUUUUUUAUUGCAAAAAUAAAUUAAUGCAUUACAAUAUACUCAUUUCCAAGUGAAAAUAAAUUUGCUUUAAGAACUUUGCAAUAACAGUGGCCGUGUAGCAUAAGUCAUGCCUGUGCCGAUAUAAAUCUUGUAACCAAAUGAACUACGUAAAUGGGAAUUCCACCCAGUUUCAAUGUUUUUAAUAGUGAGUUCUUUAUCCUACAGCUGUUCAUGGGACGUAGGCAAAUAUGCUCUGCUCUGCCAAAGUCAGGAAUCAAGAGAUCCAUCCAUAACACCUUUUGGCUGUAAUGUUAAAGCCUCCCAGCUUGAGAGAAAUGGCUAGUUAGUAGUGUUGGUCCAAGGCCAAACAUAUCUCUGGACAAGACAGCUGUAUCAGGCUGAAACUUGGAUUUUCAGAGUCAGUAAAUGUGUAUUUUUUACCCUGAAAAUGAAGAGUUAAUUGUAUCUGUAAGGUGGUGACGUGCUGCCACAUAUUCUUAACUGUAGUUCAACGAUACACUUUAAAAAAUAAAGGUUCCCAGGUGAGUCUUUGCAGUCUGGAGUUACUAUACAGUUCUUUGGAGGUUAGAAAAGUUAUAGGUUUUUCAGCUCAACAUAAUGGUUUCUGGAGUCUUAAAAGCACCAGUAGUGCCUUCGCUGAUGUUUUUCUUACAAACUAGAGAAUACCCUAAAAUAAUUUUUGGGGGAAAAAAAAGGCGUAAAUCCCUUUUGAUUGUCACUGGAAAUAUAUUUUUGAAGGAAAGAAACAAAAUUUACUCACCCUCAGGCCAAGAUGUAGAUAUGUAUGUUUCUUCAUCAUUACCAAUUUGGAGAAAUUUAGCAUUACAACUCUUGCUCACCUAUGGAUCCUUUGCAGCGAAUGGGUGCAGUCAGAAUGAAAAACCAAACAGCUAAUAAAAAAUGUCACAAUAAUUUAUCUGAACUUUUCUAACUUUAACCUUAGUUUAUCUUUGAUGGUGAACUAUUCCUUUAAUAGUGAUGGUUGACAUUUUUUGAUUAGGGUUAGGGUUAGGGGGUUGCCAAUAUUGUCAAUGGGAAUGUCAUUUUGUGUGAGUUUUCCCUCAUGCUCUGUGUGACUGACAUUUUUGCCUUUUAUUGGACAACUGAGUCUAUAAAUCCAAAUCCAUAUUAUGGCUUUUUUUCUGUUUAGAUAUAAUCAUUUGCCACAGUAUUGAAGGGAUUACCUAUUUUCACCUUUGAACAACAUUGUGUUCUCAUCAAAAACUCACCUAAAGGCAGAAGGUCUUUUUGUCUGAGACUGGAUUAUGUCGAGAGUGACAUCAACAGUUAAGGGAUUAAAUGCGGCUUCAGUUUGCCCUUUGCUUCUUGGCAUCCCAGUGUCCUCCUGCAGAAUAACACUGAAGGCUUGUAUUAAAUUUAAAUGGUUUGGUCUGGAAGUCAGUAUUAUGUCAUACGAAGUGCUUUUUGCGCUCUUCUAUUUCUGUAAAACCAAAACAACAUAAAAAU
ensembl:lncRNA